CUUUCAGGGUCACCCAGGCCCAUUCCCUGUCUCAGGCAAUACAGUGUCAGCAUUUCCACACUGAUGCCCAAGAACACUGAUUCACCAGUUGUAUGGUUUGGCAACAACCCAGCCUUGAUUUCCAUCUUGUUGAUGUCUUGCAUUAUGGUAUGCUCCAAAUAACAUCUAGAGGAUUGAGUCCUAGAAGAAAAAUUGCUGAGUCACGAGGAAAACUACAAGAUCCUUCCAUAGAAGACUGGAUCACUCAAAUGAGAACAUUCAACACAAUCUGAAAGGGGCUAUUUUACAUCUAAGAAUGCUCUGCUGUCAGAAAGAACACCAGUGUAUCUACUACCUGUAUAUUUUGUACCAAAGUAGUUGCUGAGUCACCAGGAACCCAUGACACCAUGUGUGCUGUAAUAGACUGAGAAGUUAUACAAAAGUCAGUGUACUU